rnacentral:sRNA from 1 species
UUUUGUGAGUAAAUGGGUAUAAGUGUUGUCUAAACACUCCUAAUCCAUCGCUAGCUCUUAUAAUUAGUCAAAUGCAUUGGAUUGGGACACAUUUUGACCAUAAAAACACUAACAAAUCUAUUGAGUUGUUCUAAGCAACUUUUGUUGGUUUUAACCUCUUUUAGGAGUAAAUGGGUAUAAGUGUUGUCUAAACACUUCUUAUCCAUCUCUAACUCUUACAAUUAGUCAAUUGCAUUGGAUUGUGACACAUUUUGACCAUAGAAACACUAACAAAUCUAUUGACCGCUUCUAAGCAAGUUUUGUUGGUUUUAGCCUCUUUUGGGAGGAAAUGGGUUAUAAGUGUUAUCUAAACACUUCUUGUCCAUCCCUAACUCUUAUAAUUAAUCAAUUGCAAAUUUUUUUGGUUUAAACCUCUUUUGGGCGACAAUGGGUAUAAUUGUUGUCUAAACACUCCUAAUCCAUCUCUAACUCUAUAAUUAGUCCAAUGCAUUGGAUUGUGAAACAUUUUGACCAUAGAAACACUAACAAAUCUAUUGACUGCUUCUAAGCAUAUGUUUGUUGGUUUAGCCGCUUUUAGGAUAAAAUAGGUAUAAGUGUUGUCUAAACACUUCUAAUCCAUCUCUAACUCUUAUAAUUAGUCAAAUGCAUUGGAUUGUGAUACCUUUUGACCAUAAGAACACUAACAAAGUUAUUUACUGCUUCUAAGCAAUAUUUUGUUGGUUAUAGCGUCUUUUGUGAGUAAAUGGGUAUAAGUGUUGUCUAAACACUACUAAUCCAUU